rnacentral:rRNA from 1 species
UUAGGAAUCUUCCCCAAUGGGCGCAAGCCUGAGGGAGCGACACUGCAUGAAGGAUGAAGGUUUUCGGAUUGUAAACUUCUGAACUAGGGACGAAUAAUGACGGUACCUAGGUAAUAGCACCGGCUAACUCUGUGCCAGCAGCCGCGGUAAUACAGAGGGUGCGAGCGUUAUCCGGAAUUACUGGGCGUAAAGGGCGUGUAGGUGGUUUGUUAAGUUCGAUGUUAAAGCGUGAGGCUCAACCUCAUAAUGGCGUUGAAUACUGGCAAGCUAGACGACUGGAGAGGAAAGCAGAAUUACCAGUGUAGCGGUGAAAUGCGUAGAUACUGGUAGGAAUACCCAUUGCGAAGGCAGCUUUCUGGACAGUUUGUGACACUCAGACGCGAAAGUGUGGGGAGCAAAC